ACCAUUACCAAGCAGCAAUCGAAUACACAUAUUUUAUUAACAUACAAUUUAUUCUACGCAAUUCUCACACUCUCCAUAUCCCAAUAUUUCUCUCGUUAUACAUCCAAUCGCACACAGUUUUAGGGUAGUUAACAUCCCAACCCUCAUUUAACGACUUCAUUUAAAGAGCUGCUUUUUGGACUAGAAGCGUAAAAUCUGUCACCCAAAAGGUCAUGCAAAUUCCAAGUAGGACGCCCACGAAUGUCCCAUCGAUUCAGCCCUACAACAUUUAUGAAGCUAUAAAAUAAAGUCUUUGUUAACAAAAGGCGUUUAGGAGGUGUUAUACUAUUGUCUGAAAAGAUAUAAAAGUUCGCUGAAAACGAGACAAAGGCAAAGGAGAGUGUCGAGCGAACAAAGGUGUAUAUAUACCCUUGCAUAUAUACGUAUGUAUCUGUGGAGGAGAGUGUGGAGAUGUUGUAGAUCACAAUC
rnacentral:lncRNA from 1 species